UGUCUUCCUUGGCUGCUCCUGGCCCUUGUUACCAGCUCCCAGGGGUGUCCACAACCACUUGGGACAGAAGAUGAAGGUGGAAUUUCAAAGAGAAGCUUGCUUGGAUCUUCGGUGACAAGCUUGGAUGAGCUACAGCCCCAACAUGGUCCCUCUCAGAAUUGCCUGGAAGAGGCUUUGGCAGGUGCCAGAGGUGCCAGGGGGCCUGCCUCCCUCUGCUGCAUCCAGUGGGUGCAAGCCAGCCAACAUGUGGCCAGAGUGGCUGCUCAGAUGUCUUUCCCUCCACUUUUUUUUAAGGAGUCCCACGUAAGUCACUUGAAGUAUCUCAAAGGCAAGCAAGUUAUAUGAAAAUGAAACCUACCUCAGUUAAUUGAUCAAAUGGGUGAAUCUUGACCCUCUCUAGUUUCUUUCCCUGGUCAGAGUGGGGAGCUGGUGUUAACUGUGGGAUUCAUAUGGCGUCCUACCCCAAAGGCAAAGAAGAUGAAAAUGCAGCGUGCAGACCUGGCUUGAUUCCCAAGUCGCAGUCUAGCUCCCGCUAUGCAAGAAGAUUCAGCUGGUCGGAUUUUUUGGGCUGCCUCGAAGAUGCUGACAACAUUUUCUGUGCUGUGAUUGUUCUGAAGGCAGAGUAGCUCUACCCACUGUGAGAAGCCCAAAUAAAAAUCAGUACCCCCCCACCAAA